GCAGCGAAUUGUAGCUUUUCCCAUGGGUGAGAAAUUUGCUUCUCAUUAAGUCAUUUGACAUAAAUACCCUCAUCUCCCCAAAAUCACCGAAAGCAUCCGCAACAAUCUCCCAAAUCUCAGAACGCAUCUGCAGCUGCUAAUCUUUGCACGACCGGUUUGCCAAGGACAAAUAGUACAAGGACAAAUUUGCUAGAAGUCGCGCAGCUGCCAAAAAGGCAUUUGCUUCGGUUGGUUUCUUUCCCAUCAUUGGGCCAUGAUGUCAACAAGCUGAAGCACUAAAACAAACAUCAUAAGAGAAAUCAGUCUUGUGUUGUACGAUUCCCAUCAUCAGGGGUUGAUUCUUGCUAGAUACACAUUUUCAUUUAUUUUUUUUAAGUUUGAGAACCCCAUGUGAACAUUCACUCCCCUGCUAUUAAAUUAAGGAAAACUGAAGAGUGUGAUGAGAAAAAAAAAAAAAAAACUGACAACUUGCAUGAUGAGGCGACGAGGCAUGAGCUAAGAUUAAGAAUGCAGUAGAUUUUCAUUAUGUUUUCCAUGAGAUUUGCUGGAAGGAGAUCUGGGUAAGUUUUCCAUGGAUGUAAGCAUACAAGUGCUUUUCCCAAGAUGCUUUUGCAGUUUGAGUCGACCUUGAUGAGUUGUAUAGAUGAAUUUUUGAGGUAUACAAAUGCACUGGGGCUUUUUCUCUGAA